rnacentral:rRNA from 1 species
UACGUAGGGGGCAAGCGUUGUCCGGAUUUAUUGGGCGUAAAGAGCGUGUAGGCGGCCAUACAGGUCCGUUGUGAAAACUCGAGGCUCAACCUCGAGACGUCGAUGGAAACCGUAUGGCUAGAGUCCGGAAGAGGAGAGUGGAAUUCCUGGUGUAGAGGUGAAAUUCGUAGAUAUCAGGAGGAACACCGAUGGCGAAGGCAGGUCUCUGGGCCGUAACUGACGCUGAGGAGCGAAAGCGUGGGGAGCGAACAGG